rnacentral:lncRNA from 1 species
UCGGGGAUCGGGGCGAGGAACGAGGAUUUAUCUGGGAUUCGGGUUUGGGUUUGGGGAAUACAAAAAUCGUCCCCGCCCCGCCCCGUUUCCAUGCCUAGCCGGGUACCCCCUUUAGAAUAUGUUAUUCCACUGCAAAAUUUCAGUCACCUUGUUUCUCUAGCAGUUCUUUGUCUCUCGUGGCGCUAUAUUCCCCACAAAGAUCCUUGUCUGCAUUCAUAUCAUAUCAUAAGCAUUUUUGCGGUAUCUUAGGGCCAAAAAUUGGGUCUUCUGUAUUUA